GAGCCAUUGUCACUCUGAAGGCUCCGUGGCAGCCCAAACCUGGGGAUAAUUUCAUGGAUUGAAAUCUCUAUAAUCUCCUUAGCCUGUUCACUAUGACAGGGAAAAGCCUCAAUCUGUUAAGGGAAGCACACUGAUUGAAACCGCCCACUCUGGCCAGGCACCAUAGUAACCAUUUGCAUGAGUUGUUUCACGACAGGAGGUCCUGGUAAGGAAAAGGGAACUAAUAAGCCUCCACCAACCAGAAGAGUUCAGAAAAGGUCAAAAGGAGACACCACCUGUCUGACGACCUCCCAGAAUCCUUCUCUCUGGCAUCCAUCUUGGCUGAACAAGGCGUGCACCACCAGGAAGGACUCUGAGUCAGAAUGAUUGGCUAAGGACAACCCGGAAACUAAUCCCAUCACCAUAAAACCCAGACUGCAAGCCACAUAGCACAGCAGUUCUCCUGGAUUCCCUUACCCUACUGCUUUAUGCCUGGACGCCCUUUCGCAAUAAAAUCUCUUGCUUUGUCAGCACAUGCGUCUCCUCAGACAAUUCGUUUCCGAGUGUUAGACAAGAGCCCAAUUUCAGGCCCUGGAAGGGGUCCCCCUUCCUGCAACAAAUAGCGACUCUGGUGGGAUUCUUUUUUGUUGAGACUGACAUCCUGACCACUUGAGGAGACUGACAUCCUGACCACUUGAGGUACUCAGGGGCCAGCUUGCCCGCCAAUGGACCAGACCCAGCAGCUGCAACUGAGACCCUUUUGUCCCUGGUCUCCUCCUGACGCAGACAACUGGCCAGAGUGCCCUGACCGUCCCCCGGUUCUGGACGAAGGAAUCUGGUCAAAGGGCCUCAGCCUGAGCUGAGAAUUGGAAACUGAUCACCUCCCCUUGGCAGAGAACUCGAAUUCUGGUUCUGUUCUGGUCUGAUUUCCGACCUUGCUAGAUGUUUCCAUAAAGGUAGAGAAAAGGAUCCUGCAGGAGAAAAGAAACUGAGACCUUUUGAAAAGACUCCAAAUGGUGAAGAAUCUGAUGAAGAAAGUCAAAGACUAUGAAGAUUUAAGUGAAAUGUAGCAAUAAAUGAUGCUUUUUUUAGCUCAAUUUAUUCUUUCAUUGAAAAGUCACGUCAC
ensembl:lncRNA